AGUGAACGCUGGCGGUAGGCCUAACACAUGCAAGUCGAACGGCAGCACAGUAAGAGCUUGCUCUUACGGGUGGCGAGUGGCGGACGGGUGAGGAAUACAUCGGAAUCUACUUUUUCGUGGGGGAUAACGUAGGGAAACUUACGCUAAUACCGCAUACGACCUACGGGUGAAAGCAGGGGAUCUUCGGACCUUGCGCGAUUGAAUGAGCCGAUGUCGGAUUAGCUAGUUGGCGGGGUAAAGGCCCACCAAGGCGACGAUCCGUAGCUGGUCUGAGAGGAUGAUCAGCCACACUGGAACUGAGACACGGGCCAGACCCCUAAGGGAGGCAGCAGUGGGGAAUAUUGGACAAUGGGCGCAAGCCUGAUCCAGCCAUACCGCGUGGGUGAAGAAGGCCUUCGGGUUGUAAAGCCCUUUUGUUGGGAAAGAAAAGCAGCAGGUUAAUACCCCGCUGUUCUGACGGUACCCAAAGAGUAAGCACCGGCUAACUUCGUG
rnacentral:rRNA from 1 species